rnacentral:rRNA from 1 species
CCUACGGGGGGCAGCAGUGGGGAAUAUUGCGCAAUGGGCUUACGCCUGAACCAGCCAAGUCGCGUGAGGGAAGACUGCCCUAUGGGUUGUAAACCUCUUUUGUCAGGGAGCAACGCCGGCUACGUGUAGCCGGACUGAGAGUACCUGCAGAAAAAGCAUCGGCUAACUCCGUGCCAGCAGCCGCGGUAAUACGGAGGAUGCGAGCGUUAUCCGGAUUUAUUGGGUUUAAAGGGUGCGUAGGCGGAAUGCCAAGUCAGCGGUAAAAUCGCGGGGCUCAACCUCGCUCCGCCGUUGAAACUGGCGUGCUUGAGUGGGCGAGAAGUAUGCGGAAUGCGUGGUGUAGCGGUGAAAUGCAUAGAUAUCACGCAGAACUCCGAUUGCGAAGGCAGCAUACCGGCGCCCAACUGACGCUGAAGCACGAAAGCGUGGGUAUCGAACAGGAUUAGAUACCCCUGUAGUC